GCUAAUUCGAGUAUAUGGGGAUGAUUAUCUGACAUUCAAUGUUUAAGGAUGUCAGAAAAGCAAAAGGGGGAAAAAUUUCCCCCUUUAGGCUAACU
rnacentral:sRNA from 1 species